GAUCCUGGCUCAGGACGAACGCUGGCGGCGUGCUUAACACAUGCAAGUCGAACGAAGAGCGAUGGAAGCUUGCUUCUAUCAAUCUUAGUGGCGAACGGGUGAGUAACGCGUAAUCAACCUGCCCUUCAGAGGGGGACAACAGUUGGAAACGACUGCUAAUACCGCAUACGAUCUAAUCUCGGCAUCGAGGAUAGAUGAAAGGUGGCCUCUACAUGUAAGCUAUCACUGAAGGG
rnacentral:rRNA from 1 species